UGUUAUUUAAAAAAAAACCACUGUAGGUGACGCAAGUAUUGUGACAUCACAGAGUAGAAAAGACAUCAUAUGAUAUGAACCCACUUUGGCAGGGUCUGGAAGCAUUAUUGGCAGCACCCAGCGUCUAAUGUCCACAUAUCAUGAUGCUAAACAGAGGAGUGAGCAGGCUGUUCGCCUCCACUCGCCAAAAUCCGAAUCCUCCGUCCCAGAAACUCAACCAGGAGGAAGUUUAAAGCAUAUACACGUCAAGACAAGUUUCCCUCGCAGGAGAGAUGAUGCCGUGGCCGCCGAUGGCUCCACCCAACCGGACGACGGCAUCAUCUUCCCGGCGAAGGUAACCUGGCCGAAGGCGCAGUAUACACCCACUCUUCAUGACAAAUGAUUAUAUUCUUUCGCGAGUCCGACCGGCCGAUGGUGUUUGGCACUUUCAAAUCGGUGCGAAGUGCUGACCAGAAGCGAUGAGAGAAGCGGAGAUUCCUUUGAUGGCAUCAUCCGGUCUUAUCACGCUAAUUCCGUGGAGAGGAGAGAAGACGUGCAACCGCUUCACCCUGCGCCGUGCCCCAGACCUUCGACAGGCAUGUGAUCCCCAUCCACGUGGAGAGAGGAGAGAAGAAACCCAUCCGAUAGCCCUCCUCUAUCCUCCUCAGCUGGCCACUUUCCACCCCGAGAGGGUUGGUGGAAGGUGUCGUGCCUCUCCUCUCCACUCCACAGAGCGAUCGCCAUCAGAUCUGUUGAACUCUUCACACCGAUCUCAAAGCACCGAGUGCCAUCAGAUGGUCAGGCUCACAAAAGAAGAUUAAUCAUUCUACAGCCCGAAUCAGUCUGCAACUUGCCUGGGAUUGGCCGGGCGUUGGAUAUCAUCCAAUCAAUCAUCAUGCGUAUGACUCAGGCAAUUGACCUAUUUAUGGACCACCAGGGAAACGAAUGAACCUGGAAUUGUAAUGGGUGGCAUAAAUAGCUUAGGAUCACAUGGUAACUCCAUAAAGUAGUUAUCUACUCUGCAUGACUCCUAAUUUGGAGUCUCAUUUGAAAAAAAAAAAAAAAAA